GGACCGGUAGCUCAGUGGUAGAGCAACCGGCUGCAGCUUCACAGCAAAUUCCGGUAGGUCUCGUGUUCAACUCACGAUCGGUCCU